rnacentral:lncRNA from 1 species
AUGUCAGCCACUAGCGUGGUUUAGAGACCUAACAAGCAGAGAAAUAAAGUUUCAGUACAGAAUGGUUGGAUUCAUCAAAAAGAUGCUGUAAAUGAUGAUUUGGAGCCACACAAGUAGCCAGACAAAUCAGAGUGACAGCCCUCCAUCCAUGGUCAGAGCCAUGCAUGCCUGUCACUAUGCCCCAUCCUCUGAAUUUCCAUAUUCCCCUG